CCUGGGGCCGGUGCCUUUCUGCCACCCUUUGCAGCUCUCUGCUGAGCCUGGCCUCAGGCGGUCUCGUAAGGAUCAGGUUGAAGGAAGGUUGGCGUCUCCUGGGCUGUGAAUCAUUAACGCAGCUGACAAGAUCAGCAUCUUUUGAAAUCACUGUGGGAAGUGGAGAAGAUUCCUCAGUUCUGCUGUGUGUGUGUCGGAGAAGCGUGGAGAAUCUCUUUCAUCAUGACGAAGAGCUCAUGAGUGCCGAGAGAUUGUGUUGACUUUCUGGAAAACGGGGAGAAGAUUAUACGGAACUGACAAAUGAACCAGAGCAAGAAAGUCGCACCCUGAAAGUGGCCCAGGAGAGACGAGCGGAGGAGACUCCCCAGAGGGCCAGGCAGGCCCUCAUCUAUCCGCGUCCCGGGAACGUGAGAAACGAAGAAAGUGAAGAAAAUGUCCUGGCUUGAAGACCGAUCUUCAGUCUGACGGCAGGAUACCCUGGAAUAGCCUCGUGACGGUUCAGAAAGCCGGUGAUGAGUCUAGGUCCCGGAGAGCGAAAGAACAGUCCACCUGCAGGACGUGGGAACCAGAUUAGCCAAAGAAUUUGCAUCAAGGGCACAGAUGCUAGAAGCCAAGGGAUUCGGAGGGAAAAUGACUUUGAACCUUCAAUCCUAUAACUAAACAAACUGUCAAUUAAAUGCCCUUCCAGACAAAGAUUGUUGGAGGAUGUACUACAAGCAAAAUGAAAAGGGAAACUGAAAAAGAAGAAGGUGGGAUAGAAGAAACGUGGAACAAAGUCCUAAAAGAAAUCUCAGCCAGGGGGCUCACUGGCCCCCGGAAAGCCAUUGGUCCAAUGUAGAGCUUUUCACAAAUAGUAUGAUCAAAAAUUUGACGGGCUUUAAGGGGAAAGAAAAGGAAGUGUGUGUUUCUUUUAAUGAAUGAGAAAAGAGGCAGAACGAAAAGGAAAAACCUAGGCAAGAGGUCAAGGUGCAAAUACACAUGCGGCCAGCGGACGUGCAGCAUCGAAAGGGUUUGAGAAACCGACGGUACGUGAAGUCAGAGACUCUCUGAUCCCAACAUUCACAUCUGUUUUCUUCAAAUAGCCUAGGUUUUGUGACUUGGGAAUAUGAUUCCUUCUCUAAGGUACCAACUUGGAUGAUGUUUACGUAAUCAUCAUAUUGUAAGUCUACAUUGAAAUCAACCGACAGAGAAAGCCCAGAAGUCAUAGUUGCCAACGAGCCAUUUAAUGUUGUCACCUUGAUCAACAAAAGCAGCUGAUAGAAUGAAAGAACUUGAUAGUGUACUUGAUAAAGUUAAAGAACUUGAUCGCGUAAGAUGAGUCAGAACAUAGGGCUGGAAGCUGGAGGAGGAGAAGCAAAGGAACAGACACCAUUUUCCUCUCUUUACGGAGCGGGCAGCCCAGAGGCCCUGUGCAAAGCUGAUGGAACAAAACAUGUUAGGGUUUAAGCAAAUUACUUAAUGUUAUAAGGACGACUAAUAGAAGAACUAAAGACAAUCUAACAAAACUAAGAAAGAAGGAGAAAGCCAAGGGAGGAAGAAGUAUAGGAAAUGGAUCGCUUUUCACGGCAGGAAGUCAAUCGGUACUGCCCAAAGUUAAUAAGCCAUGAAAGAAAGGUCUGGGCUUAUUUUUGAACUGCGGUGCUAACCACCGGACAGUAAAGAGAAAUGGUUACAUUGGUUUCCUCUGGGCGGUGGGACUGCACAGAGUCAAGAGCAUGAAUGUACUUACUGCCAUUCCUUACUCUUCAUCUCUGUUUUACAUCUGCCUCAGUACUUUGACCUCGAACACGCGGUCGUAAUAGAUU